rnacentral:rRNA from 1 species
UACCAGCACCCCGAGUGGUCGGGACGUUUAUUGGGCCUAAAGCAUCCGUAGCCGGUUCUACAAGUCUUCCGUUAAAUCCGCCUGCUUAACAGAUGGGCUGCGGAAGAUACUAUAGAGCUAGGAGGCGGGAGAGGCAAGCGGUACUCGAUGGGUAGGGGUAAAAUCCGUUGAUCCAUUGAAGACCACCAGUGGCGAAGGCGGCUUGCCAGAACGCGCUCGACGGUGAGGGAUGAAAGCUGGGGGAGCAAACCGG